CACUCAGUGACUUGGAUUUUUUCAAGUCUCCAACCAAGAAGUUUUCCUCACUCAAGAAAUUAAGGGUGCACUACCUCAACCUACAUGCUUCACUCACAAAGCUUCAACAUACAAGCUUCAACAAAAGGAAAAAUUUAAAGAACUUAGUGAAGAAGGUCUUGGUGUAUUUAACACAAUACGUUGAAAUGAAACAAAGCUUGUUUAUUGAUAUCUCCGAUAAGUUACAAAUAUGUACAUAUACAUGAAUCAAAAUAA
rnacentral:lncRNA from 1 species